rnacentral:tRNA from 1 species
ACCAGUGUGUUGUAGUGGUAUGAGUGUUGGACUAUGACUCUGGAGACCAGGGUUCGAUUCUCAGCUCAGCUA